AGUUGAAGCAUAUGUCCUGCAAGCUUAGGGGUGCUACAAGUUGACCACUGCAGCAGUAAAGAUGACUCUGAAGAACGGCGUGGGAUGGUUCCUUUCAAAUGCACUUGAGCAGCGGUCUCCAACCACAGGGCCACAGAGCUGGAGGUGAGCAGCAGCUGGAUCUACCAUGAAAGACUUGUGAAUCCAGGAAGAGAGACUGACUGGGCAACAUGUUAUUCAGGGUCUCCCUCUGUUGUCCAAGGCUGGAGUGUAGUAGUGCUAUCGCAGCUGACUGCAGCCUCAACCUUCCAGGCUGAAGCGAUCCUCCCACCUCAACCUCCCACGUGGCUGAGACUACAGGUGCUUGCCACUAUGCCCAACUAACAUUUGGAAUUUUCGUAUACGUGGAUUCUAGAGGGGUGACAGCGAAACGUGGGACCAUCCAGUUGCAGGAAAACAAGCUUGACACGCCCACUAAUUCUACAUUAUGCUCCUACCUCCCGGCAGCCUCUCCAGGCCCAGAACUUUCUCCAGUCAGCCUCUACAGACCAAGCUCAUGACUCACAAUGGCCUAUUUAGGCCCAUACCCUACGUCACGGCAGCCUCCGCAGAUGAGGCUACUGCCUCACA
rnacentral:lncRNA from 10 species